UCCUGUCACUCUUCAGCUGUCUCUGUCAAAAUAAAGCUUGAAAAGGCCAAAAAAAUAUCUUUAAAGAAAAAAAUAAGUACUUAAUCCUGUAGACUCCAGUAGACUCCUCCUCAAUCAACAAAUUUAAUUUGAUACCUAAUAUGUUGCAUCUGUAAUCAUCAUAUUAGAAACAACAGUACAGCUACAUGAGAAAAAGUGUUACAGUCAUCGUGACCUGGUCAGUCCUCCCUGUCGACUCUUCAGUGAACUGUCCAAAGAAAACAGCCUCCAUCUGGGCAAUGAGAGCCGGACCAGGAGGAGGAGCAGGAGACCAGGAGGAGGAACAGGCCUUUCAAAGUGGCCAGGUGAAGAGAUCAGCUGCUGGGGGAUGCAGCAACACCCGAGCAGGAGGAGGAGUAGGAGGAGGGUGAGGCCUAACAGCCAAAGAGCAGUGGCUGAGGGUGGGUCAGGAUCUCCCUCACAGCACAAUCUGACAGCUUUUAAACACAGCUACUGUAAACCCUGGGAUGGGGAAGCGUCCUCCGGCUCAGGCAAGAUACUGAACAACAAAUUGCGAAGAUGCAUGUGAAUGGUUAGCAUCCCAUAAACUGAUGAGCAGUCUGAGAGUAGAAAGGUGCACAAUAAAUGCAGCUCAUUAC